AAGAAAAAGAGAAAGAAAAAAGAAAAAAAGAAAAAAUAUCUUACACUCGGGUCAAACCGACCCGGCUGACCCGACUCGACCCGCAAAAGUGACCCAGCCCAGCAUCACCCAACAGGCCGUUCCAGACCCAAGCCCAAAGAGCAGCCCAAGAAAAAAAAACAAAGCAGCGAAAAAAAAGGAGCAAGGCAGAAAAAAAAAAAAAGAAAGAUAGCAGGCCACAUUGUAGCAGGCCAGUCAACAGGCCCAAUAGCAGUGGCAGCCCAAGCAGCAGAACAGAAAAAAAUAGCAGGCCUGUAGCAGGCCUUUUGCGCCAGCCCAGUAGCGCAGCCCAACGCAGGCCCAGUAGCACAGCAGCAGUCCAAAUCCCAGCGCCCAGCAGACCGGUGCCAGCAGCCCAGCAGAUCCGACCCGGUUUCUGGCGGCCCACUGAGGCCCAAUCCGCAGCAAAAAGGGGAAAAGGGCCUGUCUUUCAAACCCAUAACUUUGGGCUUUCGGACAUCUCAUUAGGAAGGUGUUGAUUAGAGAUUGGUUGCCAAAAACGGGUUUCUGAUGAAGGAGUCAAAUUACACAGGUAAUCAAGAAAAAUGUCAUAGUCAGAGACUGGUCUUUGAGGGCCGAGAAAGUAAAAGGGACAAUUUAAAGGAAAGAUAUAUCUCUGAUCUUUCCGAGAAGGCGACUUCGAAUGCUCGUCAGAAUAACCCUGAAGAUUUGACUAGGAUCUGGAAACAGUGAAACUCAAGAACUAGGGUCAUCUUCGUUGGCAAAAUAUUUUGUAAUUGACUCUUUUGAUAAAUGAAACGCCAAAAUAUGGGGCUAUCUUGAAAUCAA